rnacentral:rRNA from 1 species
AUUGAACGCUGGCGGCAUGCCUUACACAUGCAAGUCGAACGGCAGCACGGGGGGUAACCCCUGGUGGCGAGUGGCGAACGGGUGAGUAAUAUAUCGGAACGUGUCCUGUAGCGGGGGAUAACCUAUCGAAAGAUGGACUAAUACCGCAUACGACCUACGGGUGAAAGCGGAGGACCGCAAGGCUUCGCACUAUAGGAGCGGCCGAUAUCGGAUUAGCUAGUUGGCGGGGUAACGGCCCACCAAGGCGACGAUCCGUAGCUGGUCUGAGAGGACGAUCAGCCACACUGGAACUGAGACACGGUCCAGACUCCUACGGGAGGCAGCAGUGGGGAAUUUUGGACAAUGGGCGCAAGCCUGAUCCAGCCAUGCCGCGUGAGUGAAGAAGGCCUUCGGGCUGUAAAGCUCUUUCGGCGGGGACGAAACGGUUCGUGCUAAUACCACGGACUACUGACGGUACCCGCAGAAGAAGCACCGGCUAACUACGUG